AAAGACCUAGCAAUAGGUAUGCUUAGGGAGGAGCUUGCGUCACAUUAGUUAGUUGGUGGGGUAAAGGCCUACCAAGACUAUGAUGUGUAGCCGGGCUGAGAGGUUGAACGGCCACAUUGGGACUGAGACACGGCCCAAACUCCUACGGGAGGCAGCAGUAGGGAAUUUUCGGCAAUGGAGGAAACUCUGACCGAGCAACGCCGCGUGAACGAUGAAGUAUUUCGGUACGUAAAGUUCUUUUAUUAGGGAAGAAUAAAUGAUGGAAAAAUCAUUCUGACGGUACCUAAUGAAUAAGCCCCGGCUAACUAUGUGCCAGCAGCCGCGGUAAUACAUAGGGGGCAAGCGUUAUCCGGAAUUAUUGGGCGUAAAGGGUGCGUAGGCGGUUAAAUAAGUUUAUGGUCUAAGUGCAAUGCUCAACAUUGUGAUGCUAUAAAAACUGUUUAGCUAGAGUAAGAUAGAGGCAAGUGGAAUUCCAUGUGUAGUGGUAAAAUGCGUAAAUAUAUGGAGGAACACCAGUAGCGAAGGCGGCUUGCUGGGUCUUUACUGACGCUGAGGCACGAAAGCGUGGGGAGCAAACAGGAUUAGAUACCCUGGUAGUCCACGCCGUAAACGAUGAGUACUAAACGUUGGGUAAAACCAGUGUUGAAGUUAACACAUUAAGUACUCCGCCUGAGUAGUACGUACGCAAGUAUGAAACUUAAAGGAAUUGACGGGACUCCGCACAAGCGGUGGAUCAUGUUGUUUAAUUCGAAGGUACCCGAAAAACCUCACCAGGUCUUGACAUGCUUCUGCAAAGCUGUAGAAACACAGUGGAGGUUAUCAGUUGCACAGGUGGUGCAUGGUUGUCGUCAGCUCGUGUCGUGAGAUGUUGGGUUAAGUCCCGCAACGAGCGCAACCCUUAUUGUUAGUUACCAGCACGUAAUGGUGGGGACUUUAGCAAGACUGCCAGUGAUAAAUUGGAGGAAGGUGGGGACGACGUCAAAUCAUCAUGCCCCUUAUGACCUGGGCUACAAACGUGAUACAAUGGCUGUUACAAAGGGUAGCUGAAGCGCAAGUUUUUGGCGAAUCUCAAAAAAACAGUCUCAGUUCGGAUUGAAGUCUGCAACUCGACUUCAUGAAGUUGGAAUCGCUAGUAAUCGCGAAUCAGCAUGUCC
rnacentral:rRNA from 1 species